AGGCGGGUCUGCCUUCAGGCCCCGCCCCACGCAUGGGUCAGCCAAUUAGGGCUAGCCCGCGGUCCCUCCCCCCCCCGUUCCUUCUUCCGGAGUGGCUUCGAAGGCAGAGGCCAUUUCUAACCACGCCCACUUAUUAUUUGCAUAAGGUUGCGGAUUGGUCUCCCAAGAAGGACUCAUUCCCCGUGGGCGGGGUCUUAGCCUCUCGGUUUAGCGGGAUCUCCCCGCCCCCGCACACUCCUGAUUUGGGUGGAGUGUGGGCUGAGUCGGCCAGGGCUGUGCUUCUCUUUUCCAGAUGUUGCGGAACGAUUUCCUGUUGUUGGGCUGGUCCAGGUUUUACAAUUACUUGAUCAUACACAAACGCUUACAGUCAGGUCUGUGUUUUCCAGGCCAGUGUUGAACCGGAUUCAAGCCAUCCUCCGACUUCAACCUUGUGCAUGAUCACAGCCUGUGGUUCUCAGUCCCCAAUUUCUAAAGCAUUCUCAUCCCUUCAUCAGGAAACUCGUUUCCCCUUUGCUGCUAAAUCUCAGGGCCAGACUGUAAUUGCUUCAUGCGAACAUGCCUGGCCACUCUUUGCGGUAAGUACCUCUUCCCAACCACUAACAUGAACCUGCAUUUCCAUCUUAACUUAUAAGUCCUACUCUGGAACAUGAGAUACUGAUCUUUAUAUUGUAGCUUCAAUUUAGAAGCUGCAGACACAGGUAGGGGCGGAGGGAGGGUCAUAGCCUACGAUGCCCGGGACAGUGAUGAAUUGCUUAACAAGUCUCUCAGAACGUUUCUUUGUGCUUAAUGUUAUGCCCAGAUCACAGAAUCCCCCCCCAAAACCAACUAGGAGACGGAGUCUUCUAUGUAAAAGC